UUUCCAUGGGAACAGAAGGGAGCCGGGUUCAGGCUUGUGUUUCUGGCUCUCCCUGUUCCUGAUAAGUCAGGCCUUUGACAUGCCUCAUUGGGUUUGAGAAAAGUGAGGUUUUCUUAGCACAGAAAAGGAAGAAAAAGUGGAAGGGGGUUGGGGAUCAUACGCAUAACUCUAAGGCAGCUUUUACCAAAUGAGUAGGGCUAGGGAAAUCAUAGAGCAGUAGAAAAAAGUAGGAGUUCUCAAUUUUUUUAUGUCAUGGACCACUUUGGCCGUCUGGUGACUCCUACAUUCAUUAUGGAAGGAAAUGCCAAAUUUCAGGUGGAGCUCCAGAUUCUCUUUUUUUCUCCACACACUGGGAAGGCAAGAAAAAGAAAAUCCAUUAUAAUAUGUAUCCUCAUGCAAUGAAUUCCUCCAUUGGCCAGGUCCAAAAAGGAAGAAAAAAAAAAAGAAAAAGUCUUCAUUGCUUCCCACCAGGACUAUUUCAAUAGACUGCUGGCUAGUCUUCCUGCUUUAGGUCUCACCCACUCACUUCAUCCACCAUUCAGCUGUUGGACUGAUCUUUCUAAAACCCAGAUCUGACAACUGCAUGACAACUGACAACUCUAAAAAAAUUUUGUUAGUUUUUUUAUGUUACAUGUCCAUAAAAAUUUUAAUAAUAAUUUUUGCAAUCCAUAUUUUCUCCCUUUCUCCCAUUCCUAUCAUCUCCCUAAGAUGGCAAAUAAUGUAAUAUAGGUCAUACAUGUGUUAUCAUACAAUGUAAUUUUCCAUUUUCAUCAUGUUGUGAAAUAAAACAUAUACUCACACUAAAGAAAAAUUCA
rnacentral:lncRNA from 1 species